AACUUGGAGAGGCUGGACCCUGGGGUAUGUCUACGAAGGAGAAACCAUGCAGUGUCCUUCUACCCUGUCAGGCCUGGAACUGUGAAUGGACCGAAGACCAGUGGGGCCUUCAGCUACUGGCCUGGACUCUUGGAAGCAAACUUGUUUUUCUGUGAUUCACCAGAAACUCUCAGGACGAGAAUAUCUCAGUCUUCCAAGGUUUGGCUUCAUUGA
ensembl:processed_transcript AY512915 cDNA sequence AY512915